GUGCUCUCUUUGGCAGCAUAUUUACUAAAAUUGGAAUGAUGCAGAGAAGAUUAGCAAGGC
rnacentral:snRNA from 1 species